rnacentral:rRNA from 1 species
GAGUUUGAUCUUGGCUCAGGAUGAACGCUGGCGGCGUGCCUAAUACAUGCAAGUCGAGCGAACGGACGAGAAGCUUGCUUCUCUGAUGUUAGCGGCGGACGGGUGAGUAACACGUGGAUAACCUACCUAUAAGACUGGGAUAACUUCGGGAAACCGGAGCUAAUACCGGAUGAUAUUUUGAACCGCAUGGUUCAAAAGUGAAAGACGGUCUUGCUGUCACUUAUAGAUGGAUCCGCGCUGCAUUAGCUAGUUGGUAAGGUAACGGCUUACCAAGGCAACGAUGCAUAGCCGACCUGAGAGGGUGAUCGGCCACACUGGAACUGAGACACGGUCCAGACUCCUACGGGAGGCAGCAGUAGGGAAUCUUCCGCAAUGGGCGAAAGCCUGACGGAGCAACGCCGCGUGAGUGAUGAAGGUCUUCGGAUCGUAAAACUCUGUUAUUAGGGAAGAACAUAUGUGUAAGUAACUGUGCACAUCUUGACGGUACCUAAUCAG